rnacentral:rRNA from 1 species
AUGGCGGAUGAUGAUGGACCUUGGUAUACCGGAUUAAUCGAUGAGUGGGAUAAGGAGCAUCGUGCUCGUGCCAUUGAGAAUGGAAAGCUUGUAGUUGCUAUGCGCAUGAGGGGUCAUUCCGCUGAUGGCUUUACUUACGACCCGCGGUACGAGCCUUAUAUUCGGAGAUUGGGUCUUCUCCCAUUCGUGUUGCAGUUUAAGCGACGCGCUCCGCCGGUGAACCACGCGGCGUUGACCGCACUUGUGGAUCGUUGGAGGCGGGAGACUCACUCGUUCCACCUUCCAUGUGGGGAGCUGACGAUGACCCUAGAGGACAUGGCUAUGAUAAGCGGCCUUCCUAUCGACGGACAAGCUGUUACCGGUCGUGUCAGCGUCGUUAAUUGGCGAGAACGGACAGGCAUUUUAAUUGGUGUUCAGCCCGACGACCCUCAAGAAGGCAAGGCCGAUACCGCGAGAGUGAGGCAUUCUUGGCUAAAACUAGUCAGAGGAGACACCAAUCCGUGCCCUCAGGGUGCCAAUGACGUGGUUGUGCAGCAGUACGCGCGGGCCUAUCUUUGGUAUGUACUAACCAAGGUAGUCUUCUCAGAUGCAACCGGGAACUCAGCCCUCUGGAUGUUCUUGGAGCUACUCAAUAACUGGGAUACCCAGUAUAGCUGGGGUUCGGCUGCACUAGCAUAUUUGUAUCGUCAGCUUGACUUGGCGUGUCGGAGGAAGGGAGAUACAUCCUCAUUGUCUGGGUUUGUUUGGAGUCUAUCCGUGUGGAUGUGGGAGCGGAUCCCGGUUGGACGGCCCGAUUUCAAGAACCCCCUCAUGGCAAACCCACGGGGUAAUCAUGACGGGUUGCAUGAUGAUGAUCCAUAUCGGCGCCCUACGCUUGCUUACUAUUGGGAACAAGUGACAGUCUACACAGGAAGCUCGCAUGUGCGAUACAAGUGCUAUAUGAACGAGCUGGACACCUUGACUGCUGAGCAGGUAUAUUGGUUGCCUUAUGUGGAAGAUCGUGACUUUGAUCUUAAUGAGAUGUGCACGCGUGAUAGCCAUCUUUAG